UGCAACUAACUCAGAUUUUGAGCAAACAAAGCUCUCAAGUUGGUGAUCCUCAGGAGUCUCUGCAUUAGUUGGACAGCUCUUCUGGAAUUAUCUUCUAAGUCAACUGUGGGUUGGGUAGGUGGCUCUGCUGAUUUUUCGCUGGACUUCCACAUUUGGGACGAGUUGGCUGUCAUCAGCUCUAGAAAGGGUGUGGCCGUUUUACAUUGGCUGUUUUCCUCACAUUCCUCAAGCAGGUACUGUAAUAAAGAACUGGAGAAAUACAGUCAGAUGGGAAGUAGCCCUUGCUGUCAAGGAGCUUGCCAUCUAAUGGGGGAGACAGGCAAGUAAACCAAAGACUACACAGUGCAGUAUGGUAAGUGCCAUGAUUUUGAUGUGACAGGGCACAGUGGACGACCUUCCAAAUCAAAGCAAGUAACUAGGGGUUGACAAUGGUAAGUAUCAUAGUUGAAGUAUCCUUGAACAAGGUUUCAGGAAGAAGAAGAAGGGAAUUUCAUGCAGGGAAACAGCCAAAGCUCAGUGAGUCAAAAUAUCACAGCAUUCUUGGUAAGCCCAAUUGUUUUUUCUGUUUUGCUAUUUUGGUGGAGAGAAAGGAACACAUAAAGGAAUAACAUGAGAGAAGGCUAUUUGGGGAAGUGUAGUAGUUAAGGUUCUGGCUCAAACAACAACUGCAGCUCAUAAAGUUGACUUUAGUGGAAGGAUACUGGGGUAUCUCAUGGAAUCUUGGGAACUGUUGAAUAACCAGGGAAACUCUGGGAAACUCACUGGUAGGAAUCCAUAAACUGUCCUCCUGGUGGGCUGUAAACAACUCACCCUCUAUGCAUCUCACAUCAAAAUUCCAGUUUCUUGGGAAAACAAGUCUGUUUGCCCAAUUUGGGUCAUAUUUCCACGUCCAUGUUACUCAGGCAUGAUUCAUCUGCAAGUUAUGUGUAUAGAUAUUUUGCUACUGUUCCACCCUUACGCUGUGCUGGGGAGGGAGGUGUCACUGUGAGCUGUGUCGGUGCCUUAAGAGAUAUCUGUUGUGUCUUAUUACUUGGUUGCUUUUCCCCACAUGUACAAUGACAAAAAUGCCUUCAACCUAUUUGAUCCAGCCGUUCCAGUACAACUCCUAUACUUGCCAUCUUUCCAAGCCCAAAGGUACAUCCAGCUGAUGGAAGGAGCAUCUUGGUGUUAAUAUUCUUUUAGUCAUGGUCUCUGAAAGUAAAAUGUCUAUUCUUCUAAUUCUGGCACAAUCUUAUCUAGCUAUAGUUCCUCAUGGUCCUGCACUCCAUGGACUAAAUUGUAAGUAUAAUUACUACCAAUGUACUCUAUAAAUAACUUUUGGGGCCAGGGUGGCAAUAGUUGCUAGAGAGAAAAAAAAAAAAAAGGAAGGAGAAGAAAACAGUGAUAGUUCUUAUUUUAAAAGGAAAAAAAGAGGCAGGAGGCUCUCUUGAGGCCAGGAGUUUAAGACCAGCCUAGGCAGCAUUUCAAGACCCUGUCUCUACUAAAAAGUAAAAAAAAAAUUUAGUCAGGCAUGGUGGCAUGCACCUGUAGUCGUAGCUACUCAGGAGACUGAGGUGGGAGGAUUGAUUGAGCUCAGGAGUUUGAGGCUGCAGUGAGCAAUCAUCAUGCCAUUGCACUCCAGCCUGGGCAUCAGAGCAAGACCUUGUCUUUUAGGAAAAAAAGGCAGGGAAGAGGAAUAGGUAAUUUUUCAGUGUUCAGACAUUCCAGCAAUAUGUGUGGAGUACUCAUUCUCACUACAGUUUAUGAGGCCAUAGCUAGUAUGUAUGACUACCCAUCCAAGUUUCCCUGCUUACAGUUACUAUUCCAACUGAUUGGGGGGCUUUUCCUAAUAGAGUGAUUUAAGCCUUCAUUUUUAGACAUCUAAGCCCUUGGUGAUCAUCAGCAUAAAAUGUGACAAAUUAAACAAAAGCAAGACAGCACAUCAGAGAACAACUCUGAGGUGGAAUGAUUGGGAACCAAUGAAUAGUUGUUCAGUAAAUGGUUUAUAUUUUACAGAUGAUGAAACUGAAACACAAAAAAUUUAGAUUAACUCUUAGGUGACAAAGCCAGGAUUGAAGCUCAUGCGGUCUGGCUCCAGAACAACUCUUCUUCAUAGUUACGUUAUACUGCCCCUGCAUUGUUGGUAUUGAAAAAUUUCCUUUCAUCUCUGGUAAAAGUCAGCUCUCUAACUACUGCAUCUCACAGCU
rnacentral:lncRNA from 1 species